rnacentral:rRNA from 1 species
GGACAACCUACCCUAAGGAGGGGGAUAACCCCGGAAAACUGGGGAUAAUACCCCAUAGACUACAGAAGCUGGAAUGCUCUGUAAUCGAAAGGUCCGCCGCCUUAGGAUGGGUCUGCGGCUGAUUAGGUUGUUGUUGGGGUAACGGCCCAACAAGCCUGUAAUCAGUACGGGUUGUGGGAGCAAGAACCCGGAGAUGGAUUCUGAGACACGAAUCCAGGCCCUACGGGGCGCAGCAGGCGCGAAAACUUUACAAUGCGAGAAAUCGUGAUAAGGGAACCCCGAGUGCCCGUAAAUUCGGGCUGUUAAUCUGUGUAAAAAGCAGGUGGAGAAAGGGCCGGGCAAGACCGGUGCCAGCCGCCGCGGUAAUACCGGCGGCUCGAGUGGUGGCCACUAUUACUGGGCUUAAAGCAUCCGUAGCUGGAUUGUUAAGUCUCUUGGGAAAUCUACCGGCUUAACCGAUAGGCGUUCAAGGGAUACUGGCAAUCUAGGGACCGGUAGAGGUGAGAGGUACUCCAGGGGUAGGAGUGAAAUCCUGUAAUCCUUGGGGGACCACCUGUGGCGAAGGCGUCUCACCAGAACGGCUCCGACAGUGAGGGACGAAAGCUGGGGGAGCAAACCGGAUUAGAUACCCGGGUAGUCCCAGCUGUAAACGAUGUGCGUUAGGUGUAUCGGUGACCACGAGUCACCGAGGUGCCGAAGAGAAAUCGUGAAACGUACCGCCUGGGAAGUACGGUCGCAAGGCUGAAACUUAA